GGGGAUGUAGCUCAGUGGUAGAGUGCUUGCUUGGCAUGCACAAGGCCCUGGUUUCCAUUCCCA
rnacentral:tRNA from 1 species